rnacentral:rRNA from 1 species
AGUGAACGCUGGCGGUAGGCCUAACACAUGCAAGUCGAACGGCAGCACAGUAAGAGCUUGCUCUUACGGGUGGCGGGUGGCGGACGGGUGAGGAAUACAUCGGAAUCUACUUUUUCGUGGGGGAUAACGUAGGGAAACUUACGCUAAUACCGCAUACGACCUACGGGUGAAAGCAGGGGAUCUUCGGACCUUGCACGAUUGAAUGAGCCGAUGUCGGAUUAGCUAGUUGGCGGGGUAAAGGCCCACCAAGGCGACGAUCCGUAGCUGGUCUGAGAGGAUGAUCAGCCACACUGGAACUGAGACACGGUCCAGACUCCUACGGGAGGCAGCAGUGGGGAAUAUUGGACAAUGGGCGCAAGCCUGAUCCAGCCAUACCGCGUGGGUGAAGAAGGCCUUCGGGUUGUAAAGCCCUUUUGUUGGGAAAGAAAAGCAGCAGGUUAAUACCCCGCUGUUCUGACGGUACCCAAAGAAUAAGCACCGGCUAACUUCGUG